rnacentral:rRNA from 1 species
CUACGGGUUGCUGCAGUGAGGAAUUUUGCGCAAUGGGGGAAACCCUGACGCAGCAACGCCGCGUGAGUGAUGAAGGCUUUCGGGUCGUAAAGCUCUGUCAAGUGGGAAGAAUCUGUUUUAUGCUAAUAUCAUAAAGCACUGACGGUACCACUGAAGGAAUCACCGGCUAACUCCGUGCCAGCAGCCGCGGUGAAUACGGAGGGUGCAAGCGUUACUCGGAAUCACUGGGCGUAAAGGGCGCGCAGGCGGUCCGAUUAGUCAGAUGUGAAAGCCCGGGGCUUAACCCCGGAAGUGCAUUUGAAACUGUCGGACUUGAGUAUGGGAGAGGGAAGUGGAAUUCCUGGUGUAGAGGUGAAAUUCGUAGAUAUCAGGAGGAACACCGGUGGCGAAGGCGACUUCCUGGACCAAUACUGACGCUGAGGCGCGAAGGCGUGGGUAGCAAACAGGAUUAGAUACCCCAGUAGUC